UUUCAUGAAAUGCAACAUAUCACAAUCAGUUCACGUCAAGGAUGAACUUGUCACCAAUAGCCCACUACUGAAUCCAAUAGUGCCAGGGGCGUAGUGCAGGCCACAUCUGGUCUUUCUCUUAUACAUAACAUAACAUAACAUAUCCAAUAGUGCCGGGGGCGUAGUGCAGGCCACUUCCGGUUUUUCUCUUACAUAGUGCCAGGGGCGUAGUGCAGGCCACAUCUGGUCUUUCCACAUCAUAUCAUAACGUAGUACGGCUAGAGGAUCAUUCAACAUUCAUCCACAUCAACAACAUAUUAUGCAAUGCAACAUAUUCGUGAUUUCUAAUGCAAACAACCUAAAAUAUCACAUGGCAUCCGUGAUGCAUGAUUCAUGCUAAGAUUUUCAUUUAUUUAAAACAUAAAAGUUUAUUCUACUCACCUCAGCUAGCUCUGACAAAGACUGAAGCAGCUGACUCACUGCUGGGGUCCUCGGUUCCUCGGGUCCGAACCUACACAGGUGGACUCAAGUGAGGGACCAAACAUACUAGAACAUGACUCUAAAACAUCCCCCAAAAACCCCCUUAAAACACCACAAAACAUCCAUGAAAAGCAUACAAAGGAAGGCUGAACAGGGCACUUUCGGCGGCAGGUUCGGCGGCCGAAAGUCCCUCCAGAGCCGAAAGUCAGGCAGGUUCGGCGGCACCUUCGGCGGCUGAAACUCCCAGACAGAGACAAAACUCAUGCAUGUUCGGCGGCACUUUCGGCGGCCGAAACUGCCCUCCAGAGACGAAAGUCCUCUUUCGGGGGCAGGCUUCGGCAGCCGAAGGCUGCUUCCACAAGAGGGUUCGGCGGCCGAAAGUUCCUUCGGC
rnacentral:lncRNA from 1 species